GUUAGACGCCACGAGGGGCCGGUGGCCCGUGUCUCCUCCUUUCCCCUCGCUCCCGGGACCCCCGCCCGCCCCGCCUACGCCUUCCCUUCCCCUGCUUCUCUACCCCGAGACCCCAACUGGCGCGAAGGCUCUGUACCCAGUGUCCCGAUUCUGUUUUACUUGGGUAACUCCUUGCUCUGCGGGAAUGUAAUAAAUACUUUUUGUUGAGUUACAGGCCUGCGGUCUGGAGAGAGCAAGGACUUGAGGAUGAGCACGUAUCACGCGGGCCCCAGUCCCGCGACCACCCGACAAGGUUCUUUCUGGUCGCGGGACCCCAAGGGGCCGAAAGCUGGGGGCCCAGAGCGCAGACAGUAGGCCCUCUGCACCUGGGCUUCGGAUCCAUCACCGCGGGUUUGUCCUGCCCUUCAUGGUCCAAGCGUCUGGCACAUACAGCGCUCCGCUGUGUGCCGAGCCGGGUGACCGCUCCCAUCGGGGAGGAAGCUGAGCGCUCGUGGACACGGCAAAAGCCACAAAGGCGUUGUGAACCGGGCUGCUGGCAGGCUGUCCCCAGCUCCGGGAGCCAAUGGCUGACCGCCAGGAUCGCCCUGGCCGUUGGGAAGGCCACCUCCAACAAUAGUAUUCCAAACUGGUUGCUCUCGAUUUUUGAAGAGCCUGUGUUUCUCUUGAGGUUCCUGAGCUGAGUGGAGAAACACUGACCCUUGAGUUUCUCCUGCACCGUAGUGACUGAGUCAGGGGCGGGGCCGCCAGGCUUGGGCAGAGGAUGGAGUUACUGCGCCCAGUAUCCGACUGUUCAGUGUCCGGCCAUGUGCGCGCACUGCACCCAGGCCUGCGUGGGGCACAGACAGGGCCUCUGCGCCUGAGCGGCUGCUGUUCUAGGGGAGCAGGCUCGACAGACAUCAUUUUGGAAUUGUGGCCACAGAGCCAAGGAGGGGAGACAGCCACGUGAAGACAGAGGCACAGGCUGGAGUCAUCUGGGCACAAGACAAGAACACGGGCAACUAGCAGGAGCUGAAAGAGACGGGGGGACCCUCUGCCAGAGCCCUCAGAAGGAGUGAGGCCCCCAGGAUUGUGAGAGACAAUUUGCCUAUUCUGGAUGUUUCAUAUAAAUGGAAUCAGCUAGCAUGUGGUCUCUUGUGACUGGCUUCCUUCACUUAGCGUUUUUUCAAGGGAGUCAACAUCAAGUCUUCUGAAACAUGCUGCCAUGGAGGAGAGAAGGAGUGGCAGAGUGGGUUUAACUGUUGACAUUAAUUGCUGCAUGUGGGCUUGGGGGCAGGUAUCUCCCUCCCCUCUCAUGUAAGCAUGUGGAGGAGUUUCCCCAGCCCGUCUCCACUGCUUCCUCUGUCCCAGAUGGAGUGGCAGUAUUUCUACAACUCUGACCAAACUCAGGAAGAAGAUCUAAAGUACUGUUUACUUUUUUAGAAGAAAAUUACGAUGAUUUACCUAGUCAAAGUGCCACUAAUUUAUCCAAAAUCCUCUACUGUUGUGAAAAAAAUACAGUAAUUUCAAGACAACAAACGAACAAAACUAUCACCCACAGAAUUGCUUUUUUAUAAUCAAAUAAAAAUUGAUGUCCGUGAAGCAAACUGAUUGAAGUAGUGUGUUU
ensembl:lncRNA